AAGACCUUGCGCUUUUGGAGCGGCCGAUGCCUGAUUAGCUUGUUGGUAAGGUAAAAGCUUACCAAGGCUUCGAUCAGUAGCUGGUCUGAGAGGACGACCAGCCACGCUGGGACUGAGACACGGCCCAGACUCCUACGGGAGGCAGCAGUGGGGAAUUUUGGACAAUGGGGGCAACCCUGAUCCAGCCAUGCCGCGUGAGUGAAGAAGGCCUUCGGGUUGUAAAGCUCUUUCAGCCGGAACGAAACGGUUACGGAUAACACCCGUGACUACUGACGGUACCGGAAGAAGAAGCACCGGCUAACUACGUGCCAGCAGCCGCGGUAAUACGUAGGGUGCGAGCGUUAAUCGGAAUUACUGGGCGUAAAGCGUGCGCAGGUGGUUUUGUAAGUCAGAUGUGAAAGCCCCGGGCUCAACCUGGGAACU
rnacentral:rRNA from 1 species